UACGGAGGGGGCUAGCGUUGUUCGGAAUUACUGGGCGUAAAGCGCACGUAGGCGGCUUUGCAAGUUAGAGGUGAAAGCCCGGAGCUUAACUCCGGAAUUGCCUUUAAAACUGCAUCGCUAGAAUUGUGGAGAGGUGAGUGGAAUUCCGAGUGUAGAGGUGAAAUUCGUAGAUAUUCGGAAGGACACCAGUGGCGAAGGCGACUCACUGGACACAUAUUGACGCUGAGGCACGAAAGCGUGGGGAGCAAACAGG
rnacentral:rRNA from 1 species